rnacentral:rRNA from 1 species
UACGUAGGGGGCGAGCGUUGUCCGGAUUUAUUGGGCGUAAAGAGCGUGUAGGUGGCUUGGUAGGUCUCGCGUCAAAAGCUGCGGCUCAACCGCAGUCCGCGCGGGAAACCACCUCGCUAGAGUCCGGAAGAGGAGAGGGGAAUUCCAGGUGUAGCGGUGAAAUGCGCAGAUAUCUGGAAGAACACCAGUGGCGAAGGCGCCUCUCUGGGACGGUACUGACACUGAGACGCGAAAGCGUGGGGAGCGAACAGG